UACGGGGGGGGCAAGCGUUGUUCGGAAUUACUGGGCGUAAAGGGCGCGUAGGCGGCCUGCUAAGUCGGACGUGAAAUCCCUCGGCUCAACCGAGGAACUGCGUCCGAUACUGGUGGGCUUGAAUCCGGGAGAGGGAUGUGGAAUUCCAGGUGUAGCGGUGAAAUGCGUAGAUAUCUGGAGGAACACCGGUGGCGAAGGCGGCAUCCUGGACCGAGAUUGACGCUGAGGCGCGAAAGCCAGGGGAGCAAACGGG
rnacentral:rRNA from 1 species